ensembl:snRNA U2 U2 spliceosomal RNA
CUUGCUUCUUGGCCUCUUGUCUAAGAUCAGGUAGAGUAUUCUUGUCAGUUUAAUAUCUGAUUUGUCCUCUAUCUGAGGAUAAUAUAUUAAAUGGAUAUUAGGAGCAGAGAAAUGGGAUAGGAGUUUGCUCUGGUUGCUCUGUGCUUCAACCUGGUAUUGCAGUACCUUCAGGAAUGAUGCACACCCA